rnacentral:lncRNA from 1 species
CCUCUUUCUCCCUUUUCUCUCUCGCUCUUUCUCCCUUUUUUUUCUUUAUGUUGUUCUUUCUCUUUUGUUUUUCUUUUUGCUGCUUUUUUUUUGUUGCUCUUUCUCCUUCUCUUUCUCUUACUUUUUUCCCCUUUCUCUCUCUCUAUUUUCUUUUGUAGAGUAGUUAAUGAUUCGUAGACUAAAUAAAAUUUGUAUCAAUAAUUAAUUAAUUAGGCAAGUAAUCUAAUCGUAACAAAUGAAGAGACAUAAUAAAUUGCAAAAUGAAUUAAAUUUACAUUAAAAAUGUAUUCCACAAAUAUUAAAGUUGAAUUAGUAGAGAAUUAAAUAUGAAUGCAAAAUGUAGCAAACC